rnacentral:misc_RNA from 1 species
UGACGCGUCGCGUUCUGGACGCUGUAGCAUGCCGGCGGCGUGCGUGUCGGCUAGGCCCAGCAGCUAUGGAGUUCGUCUCGGCAAGCAGUCCUGUGCAACGGCGCCCGGUCGGUGUGCCACCAUACCGCGUCCCGCCCCUCUCGGGUCUAUACCGAAUGCGCUACCAUCCGCCCACGCAAGACAGCACCUCAUCCGAUCGUCUCCGUGCAGAGAGUGGUGUUGAGGGGUCGGGUGACGCGGUAUCUGGCACUCGCACUGCUUGCCGUGCAACCACUGGUCCCCCCGCCCAAGCUGGUGCAAACUCCGCUGCAGCGCGCCAUGCAGCAGUCCAUCAGCAGCUUCUCCGCGCGUCCUCGCUCCUUGAUGAUGGCAUAGAUUUGUUCGCUCUAUACUCGUUAUGCGAGGUGGAGCCGGUGCCGUGCAAGCUCUGCACCCUACACACGCAGGCGACGCUGAACACGUGCUCGUACCGUCUCCGUCAGUCGUAUGAGCUACAAAAGAGGGGCACAGAUCCAUCUCUGCACUACCUCACAAGAGUCACGGAGACUCGCGACGAAGCUGCCGCCCGAUCGGCGACGGAGUCUUCGCCACUGAUUCGCAUCUUGCAGCAGGGCUGGUAUGUCUUCUUCUUCCCGAUGAGCGAAUGUGGGCGACUGAAGGACAACCUGCUGGUGUACGUCGGCGAGGCCUUGAUUGCCGGCGACGUGGCUGAGUGCGACCUGGCCAAUGACGGCUGUCUACGACCGCUCAAGACAACGACGGCGGUGGCAUUACCUGGGGCCGUGAACGGUCCUCUUGGGGGCACGACAACGGCAGGGGCAUCGAAGUCGACCUCCGCAAACCCACAAUAUUGGAAGUCUCUUUUCUACUACGUGGUCAGCCCUGUCCCCGUGCACUGGGGCACGAGGCAGUCGGCAGACGUCCACUUGACUAUCUUGUGGCGCAGCAUACCAGCUGCCUAUCCAGAGCAUCGACAGAGGAAGAAGAGCGUGACGCUUCUAUACUCGUACUACUGCUCGCCGCGGGCGCCGGACACCUUCACGUGCCGCGCGCACUUCCCCAGUCAUACUCGACUGCGGCUGGUACGCAGCCCAAACUGCGACACUAAGGUGCAACUGCGCAGUGAUGUGACAGAACACAUGGCGAAGGUGCACGUGGAAACCAUGGACGGUAAGCCGCUAGAGACACACCGACACACGCGCGACUACGUCUUCGUGCUACAGUUCUUGUUGGGGGACGACACAGGGAUUCUGGAGGAGUCCGGCGUUUUUGCAGCAGCUGUAGUGGCAAUUGUCUUCCUGCUUCUUCUUUGGCUGUUGCUCACAAAGGACCUCAUUCUGUAACUCAGCUCUCUCAAGGCAUCUGUGUGCGUUUGUGCGGGUGUGUCCCUGGGUACCUUUCUGAAGUGUCUCAUCGUUCUCCCCGCCUAACUGCGCGUCACUGCCCUUUUUGUGCGCCACGCGAGCAAGUGUCGUCCCCUUUCUCCCUGCACAGCCUUUUCUGUGUGCCUCUCUCGCUGUCACGCAGAGACGAAAACCCUGCAUAUACGCAUGCUGAAGGAUGCGGCACUUCUUCGAACGUGCACUACCCAGAAGGCAGGGCAAAAAGCUGUACCCUUACAAAUGGGAUUCCAUGACAGCAGCGGUGUCACCGGUGCUCCCGAGACCUUCUUGGCGGCUUUCGUGUGGUGCCCAUGCAAUCAAGGCCCCCUACACAGUCCACUCACGCCCUGUGGUCAGUCCUUUUUCUUCGCAUCUCUCUCCGCGAUGAUGGAGGUAAGCGGAGGGCCAACAGCUCACCGUGCGCGGCAUCUCAGGGUCCAGUGCACUUCCCCACCCCUCCCCCCCCCCGCACAAACACACACACACACAUUAUGUCUGUGUGCGGAGGAGCGAAGCGGCCCCUUCCACCCCCCCCCCCCCACCCCCUACCUCUGCUAAUGCCGAACUACCUCCGGCCGUGACAAGAUCCAGUACCCACAGCGUAGGGAUGUCAGUGCGAUGUAUCGCUGCUGACGCCGGCGGUGUAGUCGUGGAUGGGCGCGGCUGUGAUGCGACCAGCGAGGCACUGGUGGGUAGGGUUUGAGGCAAAGGCCACGCUCUCCGAUGGCCGGGUCGGCGCACUGCUGCAAGGCGCGUCUGUGCGACUGCUUCGCACGCACGCGACGUGCCCGCUGUGGCAGCCCCGGGGGGGGGGCUGGCGAUAGUGGUGAUUGCGUCGUUUUUGGAGGGCACAGAAACGGACCACUGCUACACAGGAGAAAAAACGGAAUUGCGGUUUUCACACACUCCUUCCCUCUGCACACUCUUUUUCUGUCUUCUUUGUCUGCUUCAUGCCGAAUGCCUACCGCCAUGGCGACGAUUGCCCGCGCUUCUGUGCGUGUGCCGACGUUUUCUCAUGUCUGUCCCCUCUGCCCCGUAAUAG